rnacentral:rRNA from 1 species
UACAGAGGGGGCUAGCGUUGUUCGGAAUUACUGGGCGUAAAGCGCCCGUAGGCGGCUUGUUUAGUUAGGGGUGAAAUCCCGGGGCUCAACCCCGGAACUGCCUUUAAUACUGGCAAUCUAGAGUCCGAGAGAGGUGAGUGGAAUUCCGAGUGUAGAGGUGAAAUUCGUAGAUAUUCGGAGGAACACCAGUGGCGAAGGCGGCUCACUGGCUCGGUACUGACGCUGAGGUGCGAAAGCGUGGGGAGCAAACAGG